AUACACCAGCCCAAAGACAAGAUUUGACUAAUGAAUGAUACAGGCCAGGUGAAAACUCUGAAAAAGAAGAGAAAUCACAAUCUGGCUUAAGAAGUUUGACAAAGAAGUAAAGCAAAGAAAUGUCAAAGGGUUAAAGCUGAGCAUCCAGACUACACAAAGAAGCCCUAAGUGAGCUGAUUGUAGUAGGAGCAUUAGCCUGAAAAUCAGUACUG
rnacentral:lncRNA from 10 species